rnacentral:rRNA from 1 species
UGGGGAAUAUUGGACAAUGGGCGAAAGCCUGAUCCAGCCAUGCCGCGUGUGUGAAGAAGGUCUUCGGAUUGUAAAGCACUUUAAGUUGGGAGGAAGGGCAUUAACCUAAUACGUUAGUGUUUUGACGUUACCGACAGAAUAAGCACCGGCUAACUCUGUGCCAGCAGCCGCGGUAAUACAGAGGGUGCAAGCGUUAAUCGGAAUUACUGGGCGUAAAGCGCGCGUAGGUGGUUUGUUAAGUUGGAUGUGAAAUCCCCGGGCUCAACCUGGGAACUGCAUUCAAAACUGACUGACUAGAGUAUGGUAGAGGGUGGUGGAAUUUCCUGUGUAGUGGUGAAAUGCGUAGAUAUAGGAAGGAACACCAGUGGCGAAGGCGACCACCUGGACUAAUACUGACACUGAGGUGCGAAAGCGUGGGGAGCAAACA